UUCCGACGGUAUAGUAUGAAAAUUAAAAUAAAUAUCCUGUUUGAUAAUCUUAUAUUCACACUCGAUAAAUUACACAUUAUCGCAAGUUAUCUCUGUGAUAGUCUCAAUAAAUUAUUACGGAUGACAAAUUUAUCGGUGUAUGAAAAUAAAAUCUGGUGAUGAUUUAUUUGUUGGGUGACCUUCUACCGAAACUCCACAAAGGAUAAUAAAAAUUAUAUCUGUUAUUAAACGAUAAACUCUUUUUAUGACGUUUUAAGCAACACUGGAAAUACACGACCUAGAAAUUUGCCAUUUUGAAUAACUAGUUUCAUUUUUUAAUUUAUUUGUCUCACUUCACUUAAUUGUUUAUUGACAACAACUAAUUAUACUCCGCCAUUUUGAAUAACUAUCUUCACUAAUAAAUUUAUUUGUUUCACUUAACUCAAUUGUUUAUUAACAACAACUAACUGAAUCCUGACAUUCAAUCAGCUGUUAAUUGACAAUUACCAUUAAUUAACUUCAUUUGAAAACAAAUAAAAUAUCUUCAUUAAAGUGAAACAUAAAGUAAUGAUGAAAAACAAGGAAAUGAAAAUUUUAAUGUUUAGUUACGGUCUCAUUAAAACACUUGUAAACAUUUACCUAACCUAUAAAACGCCGCGGGGCAGCAGUAUUUGCUUAUCUUAUAUCUCAUAAUUAAUCAGCGAAAGAUUCCAAUUUCCAAAAUUAGAUAUGGACAGUUUCAGUGGCAUAUAUACAAGCGAACCUCCAUCCAUUGAAUUCCCGUUUUAUUAAAUUUGACUCUGGGCUUCAGCUCGAGCUUCGUCUAUUGCUAUCGAGAACGAAAAUGUUAGGGGCGACGACAAGAUUCUCACUUACGUUUUAUCACUUGACGCUUUGCUAGUUGAGUUUGUAAUUAUUUAUUUAACUUUUUUUAUUAAAUCAAUUGUUAACGUUUUUAUUAAAAGUAUCAAGAGUAGUUUUGACUAGUUUCAAAGGACAGAGACUGAAAUUUCGUGAGAAUUUCUUUGGCAGAUUUCUUCUCUAAGAGAAGAAAUAAAAUAUUUUCUUUCACAAUCAAAGAAAUACACUCACACCUUAACUCUCAAUACAGACAAACUUUUUUAUCUUUAUUCACCGUGACCCGCAUUCAUUAAUUUUACUCAGCUUCAGUUUAAACAGAAGCGGAUCAUAAUUGUUACCACUAGCUAAAAAAUCAAUCUUACUUUUUUUUACUUUCAGAGACUACGGCGGAAAAUAUUUCUGGUGGGAAUUAUUUUAAUUAUUCAUUUUUAAUAAAAUUAAUUAAAAUUUUAAUAUUGGGGAAAAAAUUUCAUUAUUAAUUUUGAUACUGAAGUUAAUUUUUUAGUUUUUAUAACAAAUU